ACAAAAUGCAUCAAGACUUGAUGCAGAGAUAUCACCAAAGAGCAAGGCAAGAGCACUAUGAGAUCAUCACGAACAUGAUCACCGCUAAGAUGGGAAGUGGAGAGUCUCUAACCUUGCACUUGCAAAAGAUGCAAAGAUAUGUUGAUUGUCUUCGCAAGUUAAAUGUUAACUUUGGGGAAGAUUUGGCAAUCGACAUCGUUCUUCACUCCUUGCCCUCGUUCUACAAAUAAUUUAGGAUGAUGUACUGGAUGAGCAAGGAAGAGGUCACUCUAAGUAAACUCCAAGGGCUCCUAAGGACUGUUGAGAGCAACCUCAAGGAUAAGUCUGUUGCAUUAACUCCCACUCCACCCGCUGCUCCUGUUCUCGCUAUUGGGCAAGAGAGGGGCAAGAAGAGGAAGGCUUCUUCAAAGAGCCACUACAAGGGAAAGUCCCAAGAUGGUUUCUCCUCUAGUGGGACCAAAGUUGGUCCUAUCAAGCCCAACUCAAACCCAAAGGAGGCAGAGUGCCACCACUGCUACAAAAUAGGGCAUUAGAAGAGAAGCUGCCCGGAAUAUCUGCAACCCAUCAAGGAUGGGAAGAUCAAGCCAUCUUUCGCAGGUAUUUACACAAUUAAAUCUAAUGAUUCAUCGCCUGCUGUUUCUUGGGUUCUUGAUAUAGGAUGUGGUUAUCACAUAUGUUCUGAUUUGCAGGGACUAAGAAGAAAUAGGGAUGUGGAGCGUGAAAGAAUAAGUCUGAUCAUGGGGAACAGAAGAUCGUCGCCUGUCACAUAUGUUCUGAUUUGCAGGGUCGUUAGCCGAACGGGUAGGAUAGGGCAAUCCUCUCUUCAUUAAUAAGUAUAAUGAAUCUAUGUAAAGUAACUAAACGCUUUUACAAAUUCCCAAUCCUAGUUACUUUAGGCAAAAGUGAAAUUGAUGCAAUCCCAUGAAAUUGCACUUUGCACGCUUUCUAAGAAAUUAGUGAAGCGUGUGUGGUUAACCGACACACUAAUUGGUUCUAAGCAAAGGUGGCAAAGGGUGACUCAUUGUUUGUCAUUGUUCGAUGAAGCGUGUGUGGUUUACCGGCACAUCGAAUAGGUGAUUGUAACAAUUAGGGCACCAUCUAGAUUUGCAUGGUUAUUCACACCCACUUUGUGAUCCUCGGCAUCCCAGUCACAAACGAGAGAGGCAUAUCGAGAUUUAAACAUGCCAAUGAAAAGUUCAAUCCAUCUCUAAGGAAAUUUAGGAAUUCUCAAUACAUUUAAAACUUGAGCAUUAUGUUUUUCAUGGUGAAGAAUUAGUGAAUCGUCAUUCACUCACCUCCAAAUUAUUUGAAUGUUGAAUUUCGGCAUCCCUUUUCUAAUGUGUAAAUAAUGUUGUUGGGUGCUAGCCCUAAUUUUCCAUUUCGGGUGUUUAAUUAGGGAUUUUAUUCUAAUCAAACCUUGUUCCUUUCUAUUUGUAGAUGUCUAACGUAAACAACGUUGUUGCCACCUCAUUCGCAUGAUUGCUCGCUAUCAGGACAAUGAUAUGCCCUCGACGAGAAGCUUGAAAAUAUCAAUCCGGAAAUCACUACUCCCGAAGAAAUGGCUGUCUUUGAGACCCAUGAGCGUGAUGCAUUGAAAUUCCAUUGCAUUAUGCUAGCCGCAAUGAAUCCCGAACUCCAAAAGUCCUAUGAGGACAUGUAUCCAUACAAAAUGCAUCAAGACUUGAUGCAGAGAUAUCACCAAAGAGCAAGGCAAGAGCACUAUGAGAUCAUCACGAACAUGAUCACCGCUAAGAUGGGAAGUGGAGAGUCUCUAACCUUGCACUUGCAAAAGAUGCAAAGAUAUGUUGAUUGUCUUCGCAAGUUAAAUGUUAACUUUGGGGAAGAUUUGGCAAUCGACAUCGUUCUUCACUCCUUGCCCUCGUUCUACAACCAAUUUAGGAUGAUGUACCGCAUGAACAAGGAAGAGGUCACCCUAAGUAAACUCCAAGGGCUCCUAAGGACUGUUGAGAGCAACCUCAAGGAUAAGUCUGUUGCAUUAACUCCCACUCCACCCGCUGCUCCUGUUUUCGCUAUUGGGCAAGAGAGGGGCAAGAAGAGGAAGGCUUCUUCAAAGAGCCACUACAAGGGAAAGUCCCAAGAUGGUUCCUCCUCUAGUGGGACCAAAGUUGGUCCUGUCAAGCCCAACUCAAACCCAAAGGAGGCAGAGUGCCACCACUGCUACAAAAUAGGGCAUUAGAAGAGAAGCUGCCCGGAAUAUCUGCAACCCAUCAAGGAUGGGAAGAUCAAGCCAUCUUUCGCAGGUAUUUACACAAUUAAAUCUAAUGAUUCAUCGCAUGCUAUUUCUUGGGUUCUUGAUAUAGGAUGUGGUUAUCACAUAUGUUCUGAUUUGCAGGGACUAAGAAGAAAUAGGGAUGUGGAGCGUGAAAGAAUAAGUCUGAUCAUGGGGAACAAAAGAUCGUCGCCUGUCACCAAGAUUGGAGUGUAUUCUCUAGUGCUUAGUAAUGGAUUAGGUUUAGAUUUAAAUAAUUGUUGCUAUUCGCCAGAUAUGGCAAGAAACAUCAUUUCAUUUCAUGGUUUGUUUAAACAAGGAUUUAGAUAUUCGUUUAAUAAUGAGAAUGGUUCGAUUUGUGCUUAUCUAAAUGGUGAUUUAUAUUUUGAAGCAUUGCCUUGUAAUGGAAUUUAUGAAACUGUCAUGGUUCAAGAUAACCUAGGAAAUGAUGUAUUGUGUAUGAAUUCUUCCAAUAGUAUGGAUAAAGCAUGCUUGUGGCAUUGUCGUCUUGGACAUGUCAACGAGAAGCGCAUAGCCCAGCUCCAAAAGGAUGGAGUGUUGGAGUCAGUCGACCUUAGGGAAGAUGACACGUGCGAGUCUUGUUUUCUUGGAAAGAUGACCAAGUCACCCUUCACUGGCACUUGUGAGAGGGGUGAGGGUUUAUUGGAUCUCAUAUACACCGACGUGUGUGGGCGCUUUAGACCCACCAUAAAGGAUGUGAACCGCUUCUAUGUGACUUUCACCGAUGAUUAUAGUAGAUAUGGGUAU
rnacentral:lncRNA from 1 species